AAAGGCAUCACGGAAUUCAGAGCUAACACCACAAACGACCCCAACAGCACGGAUGCCCAGAGAGUCUGGCUUCUCUUCCUCAAGACUAGAGUAAGAUUCCUCGGAUUCUGCCAGGCCCCUGCCAGGCCUGGACUCCGGCCACAGCAGAUGCAAUUGAGAGAAGGCACCGCACCGAGGCAGCCGGUAAUGUGCUGUGUGGCCGGGAGAGAGCGAUUUACACACGCCUGCUGGGAUACCCACGGGAGCUUUUGGAACAGGCUCGCCAUCCACAAUCUCGAGCGUCAUCAUUACUGGCCCCGUGGGAGAAGUUUAUUUCUUCCCUGCCCUUCACAGCUCAGCUCAAGUUACUUUACAGAUAACACCUCCCCUGCGAGUGCUUCCUUUCUAUGCCCACCGAACUAACAGCUCCUCCCUGAUCUCUGCUCCAGGACAUGCCACCCACACUUCACACCCGUCCCAUCCCGCCCUGUCUUAUAAUUAGUGGCUGUGCUUCAUCCUUUCAUCUGUGGACUGCAAGCUCACUGAAGGAAGACCACAUCUUUGGCACUGAUCUCAACUAGCAUUCGGUACCUUUGUGACCCUCUGUGUGAUUUCUCAACUGCAGGAAGACAAAUAAUAUCUGAGUGGCAGAGUUGCCAAUCCAGAGGCUACGUCAGCUAAUGCUUUUCUUUGGAUGUUUUGCUGUAGCACUGUCAACAAUCUCCAGCUUGAUG
rnacentral:lncRNA from 1 species